UUCGGGGCGGGAGAGUUCCUCCACCUCCCGCUCCAUUUCUUAUCUGGGCAGGGCGGAUUCGGGGCGGGUUACUUUUCAUUUUAUUUUUGGCUCCCACUAACCGCUCCAUUCGGGGCGGAUCGGGGCGGGAGCGGAUUUUUAACCGAUCGGGAUAGAUUGAAGGAAGAAAAGAGUCUCCCGCCUCCCGCUCCAUUUACUUGGCGGAUCGGGGCGGAUUCGGGGCGGGUUAUAUUUUUCUAUAUUUUUUGUUCCCACUUACCACCCCAUUCGGGGCGGAUCGAGGCGGAGCUCCACCAAUCCGAAUUCAUUUGCAUCCCUAAUCUCAGAGUUACUU
rnacentral:lncRNA from 1 species